UACGUAGGGUGCAAGCGUUUGUCCGGAAUUAUUGGGCGUAAAGGGCUCGUAGGCGGUUUGUCGCGUCGGGAGUGAAAACUCAGGGCUUAACCCUGAGCCUGCUUCCGAUACGGGCAGACUAGAGUGCGGUAGGGGAGAUUGGAAUUCCUGGUGUAGCGGUGGAAUGCGCAGAUAUCAGGAGGAACACCGGUGGCGAAGGCGGUUCUCUGGGCAUGUCCUGACGCUGAGGAGCGAAAGUGUGGGGAGCGAACAGG
rnacentral:rRNA from 1 species